AGGAUGAACGCUGGCGGUCUGCUUAACACAUGCAAGUCGAACGGAGUACCUCGGUACUUAGUGGCGGACGGGUGAGUAACGCGUGAGAAUCUGCCCUUAGGUCGGGGACAACCAUUGGAAACGAUGGCUAAUACCGGAUAAGCCGAGAGGUAAAGAUUAAUUGCCUAGGGAAGAGCUCGCGUCUGAUUAGCUAGUUGGUGAGGUAAAGGCUCACCAAGGCAUCGAUCAGUAGCUGGUCUGAGAGGAUGAUCAGCCACACUGGGACUGAGACACGGCCCAGACUCCUACGGGAGGCAGCAGUGGGGAAUUUUCCGCAAUGGGCGAAAGCCUGACGGAGCAAGACCGCGUGAGGGAGGAAGGCUCUUGGGUUGUAAACCUCUUUUCUUGGGGAAGAACAAAUGACGGUACCCAAGGAAUCAGCAUCGGCUAACUCCGUGCCAGCAGCCGC
rnacentral:rRNA from 1 species